GCCCCUGUAGCUCAAUGGACAGUGCUUUGGACUUCUAAUCCAAGGGUCGUGGGUUCGAAUCCCACCUGAGAUG